GAUGUCAUGUAAUUAUAUAUCAGAGACAUAGUACUACCGGUAUUAUUGUAUAAUUGUAUGUGUCUGGUUAUAUAUAAUGUCAAGCAAAGGUUAAUACUUAGUAAAGAGAAAAUAAACCUCUGGGUGUACUUUUAUAAAGUGUUUGUCACUUGAAGAUAAGACAGUGGAAACGGAUAUUUGGAAACCAUGUCCUAUCAACUGCAUUUUUUAAUGGUAUACUUUGGACUUUUACUCACAAUGGCGGAAAGCGGAGAUACUAAAAUGAAAAUGAUGAGAGCCUUAAUGAAUAAACGAGCAGUGAACGUAAAAAAUGAAAAUCAUUUGCCCUACACCACAAUGCAUCCAUCGCCACCACCAACCACAAUGCCACCGACAACCCUGCCACCAGGAUGUGUUUAUAGAGGAAAGACAUAUCGUUUUGGUGAGAUGAUACAACAGGGACAAUCAGGAAACUGGUGCUAUUUUACAAUGUGUGACAAUUCCGGGCAAAUCAUAUAUGGGGAUGACUUUCAUUGUUCUACAACUAUAUUACCACCAACUACAUCACCACGUGGAUGUGUUAUUGAAGGGAAACAUUACCAACCUGGAGAACAAAUAUCUAGCGGACAAUCAGGAAACUGGUGUUAUUUCACAAUGUGCGACUAUUCAGGUCAAAUCAUUCAUGGGGAUGACUUUAAUUGUUUGACAACAUUACGGCCGACAACAUUACCACCAACACCUCCGAUAAUACAUAUAGGCUGAGAUAAUAAACUUCGUCGUAUUGUACAUUUUUUCAUUGUGGAAUAACUUGUUUAUAGGUUUUGAUGGAAAACAGUUGAAAAAACAUUGGUUCGUGUUGCUCAGUCUUUAUGUUGUAUUUGGUAUAUUGUUAUUUGUCUUUUGGUCUUUUUCUUUUUUUUUGCAUGGUGUUGACAAUUUAUUUUCGACUUAUGAGUUUAAGAGUAUCUUUGGUAUAUUUAGCCUCUCUUUUUGAAAUGUGCGAAGAAAACUAAGAAUUUUUUUCCCCAGGAAUAUAUUACCUUUAGCUAGCUGUUACAGUAUUUGACAAACCCUUUCGGAAUUUUUUAUCCUCAAUGCUCUUCAACUUCGUACUUUAUUUGAGCUUUUAAUUGUUUUUAUUCGAACGUCAUUGAUGAGUAUUUUGUAGACGUAACCUACGUCUCUGGCGUAAACAAUUUUCAGCCCGGUAUAUUUGUUGAUUUUUUUGUAAAUGUAAUUGAAACAAUUAUUCAUUUUUUUCUGAAUUAUACAUCCAUUAAAUGAAAAGUGUGUAUUUUAGUAAAUAUUGUGCUAAUUUUGUUUAAUAUAAAAAUAAGAAGAUGUAGUGUGAUUGCAAAUGAGACAACUGAUUAAAGUCUACUACAAAGAAUCAGUUUUGGCUAAUAAAUAAAGAAAUUAAGGUUAACUAAAUUGUGCUGUUUACAUACAUACAUUUGAAAAGUAAUCAUAUUAACUUAUCAUCGCCAUUUUCUAUGAAAAUUUUGAUUCUUUUUUGUUGGAGCAUUAGGACAGGUUUUACUGAGGUUUCAUUAUUUUUAUUUAUUCUGUCUAGAUCCAAUUAUAUCUUGCGCUAAACUAAUGAAUGUUCUUUGUGCAUACUCGACUGCUCAUCAUAUACAUUUUCAUCAUUUUAUUUGUUGUCUCUUAAACUUUUCGAAGGCCGGCUUUGGUACCAUCUGGAGAAAUGGGUUGCAAUAUAAAAUAAUUCUUAACCUAAUAGAUGAAUAUAUAAAGUAAUAAUAAAUGUGUUAUACCAAA